rnacentral:lncRNA from 1 species
UCUACACUCACAAUGUUUGUCAGCUCGCUAUAUAAUCAACUUGAUAAUGUUAAAUCCAUCAUGCAAUGCAUUUCAUUCCAAUUUUUUGUGACAAACUAAUAGAUAAUUGACUAAAUAAACAUCCUGCAAAGUUUCAAUAAAAAUUUCCAAGUUUUUCUUACAAUUUCCGUGGUUUCCAUGUAAUUUUUAUCGAUAUCGAUAUUAUCCUGAUAUUUCCAUCGAUAUUUCCGUGUUUUCGAACUACCGAUAUUUCCGAUAUUAUCGAUAUUUUCUUCCUUGGGUAAAGCCAACAAACCAAAUAAAUAGAUAACAAAUUGGGAAGGCUAAACAGACCCAGUAGAUAAAAAAAAGACAGUAAGCAUAACCCUAAUUCCUAUCUUACAAUGGCGGCAGAAUGUUGUUGCCACCGCCAUGAACGCCUUGCCAGCAGCCACCAAGGCAGCUGCAGUGGAGAAAUUAACAAAGUGUUGACCAAGGCUUCGCAACGCAAAAGUUUCAAACUCGCAGCAGCAAAACAAAUCCCAACCUAAGCUCAACAUUAGAACCGCUACACUAAGGGAGAGCCACCAGAUCCAAAACACCUUCACAUAAAUGAGAUUGUUUAAUAUAAUUAGUUGUAAUUUAUUUUAUCAAGUUUUUGUUAAAAAAAUUGCAUUCUUCAACAAUUUCGAUGUUUGGAUAUGUUGAGAUGUGGUAACCAGAAGAUACACUAUAUUUUCAUUCCUUUAUGAUCUGAGAUAGCAAAAUCACUAAUGCAUAUUGGUUUCCCUACAAUGUCAAACGUUUUGUAUAAGAGAGUGAAUUCGUCAUGUCUUUGAGUCUUUUUCAUCAAUGACAUGUUUUAGUUGUAAGUGAACUGCCCAACUGAAAGCCUGUAUCCCACAUCUUGAUACAAGUUGAGACUAAAUUAAACUAAGCAUUCCCUCAAGUCAAAUAACAUGUAAAGAAUAUUUACAUGCGCUGAACAUUUGGCUGCCUGUCAAACAAAGUUGGCAUCCUUUUGUAUAUAUAUGUUUUAUAAACCCAUUGAAGAUCAUGGUCCACAUGCAUAUGUUGUAUCUUUGACAAAGACAAUAGGGGGAGGAAAAGGGAAACCCUAAGCUGGCAUCGGAAGAAGAGAAAAUUCCUUGUCUCAAGGAGAUUGUUUUGUUCCUUACCUUGAACCUCUCACUUUCUUUUUGGUCCGAAUCAACAUCUAUUUAUUACACAACAGAUCAUAUCUCUCUCUAUAUAUCCAAUAAUUAAGAUCUAUAUUGAGGCUUAUUUUCAGUUACGACACAUGUACCUUUAUAUGUUAUGUUAUCUUUCUUUACCACUUGCACUGUUUUUUAGUGUCCCACUUUACCCUCUAUACCAUAUUAUCUCACUUUAACUUUUUCUUCCUCAAUGUUUUACUUUACCCUAUUUCGGCAAAUAAGUUAAGAGAGUCGUUAAUUACAUUGAGGUGACAAGGACAAUUUAAUCUUUUCAACUACGUUGGUUGUGCGGUAUGUGAGAUGUUAGUGGAACCCAUGGUUAAUGGAGGUGGAUUAAGCUCAUGCUAGGGUUUCAUUUCUGUAGAUUAAAAGAAAAAUAUAAGAAGAGAAAGUUGAAUUUCAACAUUCACGAAUCAAUUUCAAUGUUUUUGGAUGUUUUUGCAACAAUUAUUAGGGAGAAUCUCUGCAUCUAUUGCUAUCCUCUUCUUUAAUUUUCUUAACAUUGAGAAACCAAACCUUGGUUUGAGUUUUCUUCCAUAUCUUUGCAUUCAUGGGUCUUACUAAUAUAGUUGAAAAGACUACAUUGUCCAUGCUGUGUUGGCACAAUUAACGGCUCUUUUUCACUUAUUUGAUGAAAGAGGGUAAAGUGAGACAUUGAAAAAGAGUGCAGGUGUUAAAGUGAGACAACAUAGAGUCUAAGUAGUAAAGUGGAAUAUAGAGAGAGUGUGUAAGUGAUAAAGUGAGUCAAUAUAGAGUACGUAGAGACUAAAGUGAAAUUUAGUGAAGAGUACUAGAAAAAUAAGCCUUAUUUUAAUGCCCUUUCCCUUAAGUCCUUGAUGGUUCAUAAUCCUAAUUCCAUAACCUCUAAGAAGACUAUUUAUUAAUUCCAUCUGGCAGUUUUAAGUUUCUAAUCAUUCUUUAAUUAUAUGUUUAGCACAGGUCAGAGCUGGUCUUAGUUCUAGGUUAAAGAUUGAAUUUGUCCCCUCUAUCUUAUAUUAUCUCUAUUAUAUUGGUUGAUAGGAAAUAAUAUUCAUUAGAUAAAUUUUAACGGUACAUUAAAGACGUUGACAAGUAAAAAAUAUUACAUAUAAAAGUAAUAAUCUCAAAAGUAAAACUUAAGGAGGAACAAAACCACAUAAGUGUAAUAGCAACUCCAGUGGAUAGGGGACCUCUUUAACCUAAUCCCUUCCCUUCCUUGCUCCAGCCCACGCGGGCGAUUGUGCUAAGGAGGGGUCCGUGUGAGAAGGGAUGCACAAGUCCAAGGCCUGAGUGCUUGAGGGCUCUCUGAUGCAAGGCUAACAUUAGGAUGACAUCAGCCAUGUUAUAAAAAAAUUUGCGUCAAGUGCGUACAUCGCACGCGCGCGUGGGGGUGUGUCAUAGACUAGAUUUCAGUCGGUGGGGCCCGCGGUUUGAAUUCGGAUAUGUUACUGUUUUGGAUGCCACGUGGCACCCUCAAGGCUGUUGGAUUUCAACGGAUUUUUUUUGGACCAUUGGAUUUCCAACGGUAAAAAAAAAAUUCAAACCUCCCCCAACGGCUGGAUGACGUGGCACAAUCUCAGCUAUUGGAUUUCAAAUCAACGGUCCACGUUAUUCG